rnacentral:rRNA from 1 species
UAGGGAAUCUUCCGCAAUGGACGCAAGUCUGACGGAGCAACGCCGCGUGAGUGAAGAAGGAUUUAGGUUCGUAAAACUCUGUUGUUAGAGAAGAACAGCGCAUAGAGUAACUGUUAUGCGUGUGACGGUAUCUAACCAGAAAGCCACGGCUAACUACGUGCCAGCAGCCGCGGUAAUACGUAGGUGGCAAGCGUUGUCCGGAUUUAUUGGGCGUAAAGCGAGCGCAGGCGGUCAAUUAAGUCUGAUGUGAAAGCCCCCGGCUCAACCGGGGAGGGUCAUUGGAAACUGGUUGACUUGAGUGCAGAAGAGGAGAGUGGAAUUCCAUGUGUAGCGGUGAAAUGCGUAGAUAUAGAGAGGAACACCAGUGGCGAAGGCGGCUCUCUGGUCUGUAACUGACGCUGAGGCUCGAAAGCGUGGGUAGCAAACAGG